CCUACGGGUGGCAGCAGUGAGGAAUAUUGGUCAAUGGGCGGAAGCCUGAACCAGCCAAGUAGCGUGCAGGAUGACGGCCCUACGGGUUGUAAACUGCUUUUAUACGGGAAUAACGCGCCUUACGUGUAGGGCUUUGCAUGUACCGUAUGAAUAAGGACCGGCUAAUUCCGUGCCAGCCGCCGCGGUAAUACGGAAGGUCCGGGCCUUAUCCGGAUUUAUUGGGUUUAAAGGGAGCGUAGGCCGCAUGUCAAGCGUGAUGUGAAAUGUCCGGGCUCAACCCGGGCCGUGCAGCGCGAACUGGCGGGCUUGAGUCCGCGGAAGGCAGGCGGAAUUCGUGGUGUAGCGGUGAAAUGCUUAGAUAUGACGAAGAACCCCGAUGGCGAAGGCAGCUUGCUGCAGCGGAACUGACGCUGAUGUGCGAAAGCGCGGGUAUCGAACAGGAUUAGAUACCCUUGUAGUC
rnacentral:rRNA from 1 species